rnacentral:rRNA from 1 species
CAGCAGCCACGGUAAUACAGAGGAUGCAAGCGUUAUUCGGAAUGAUUGGGCGUAAAGCGUCUGUAGGUGGCUUUUCAAGUCCACCGUCAAAUCCCCGGGCUCAACCCUGGACAAGCAGUGGAAACUACCAAGCUGGAGUACGGUAGGGGUAGAGGGAAUUUCCGGUGAAGCGGUGAAAUGCGUUGAGAUCGGAAAGAACACCAACGACGAAAGCACUCUGCUGGGCCGACACUGAUACUGAGAGACGAAAGCUAGGGGAGCAAAUGGGAUUAGAUACCCGGGUAGUCCCUGUCUCUUAUAA